rnacentral:tRNA from 1 species
GGAGAGAUGGCUGAGUGGUUUAAAGCGAUAGACUGUAAAUCUAUUGAUUGUAAUUAAUCUUCGCAGGUUCGAGUCCUGCUCUCUUCA